rnacentral:rRNA from 1 species
AGGGCACCACCAGGAGUGGAGCCUGCGGCUUAAUUUGACUCAACACGGGAAAACUCACCCGGCCCGGACACUGGAAGGAUUGACAGAUUGAGAGCUCCUUCUUGAUUCAGUGGGUGGUGGUGCAUGGCCGUUCUUAGUUGGUGGAGUGAUUUGUCUGGUUAAUUCCGAUAACGAACGAGACUCUAGCCUACUAAAUAGAUAGUCGGCUUACAAACGUCGACUAGACUUCUUAGAGGGACAGGCGGUGAUUCAACCGCACGAAACAGAGCAAUAACAGGUCUGUGAUGCCCUUAGAUGUCCGGGGCCGCACGCGCGCUACACUGAAGUGAUCAGCGUGCUUUUUCAGCCUACUCUGUCAAGAGUGGGAAACCCAAUGAACCUUCUUCGUGAUUGGGAUAGGGGAUUGUAAUUAUUCCCCUUGAACGAGGAAUUCCCAGUAAGCGCGAGUCAUAAGCUCGCGUUGAUUACGUCCCUGCCCUUUGUACACACCGCCCGUCGCUACUACCGAUUGAAUGUUUU